rnacentral:lncRNA from 1 species
UGGGCAGGGUGGACGAAGGCUCACUGUGAUGUCUUUUUUAGGCACAAGUUGCCAUAAACAUUUUGAAUCAAUUCAGGACGUCGAAGCAGCACUAAAAAGACACCAAGAGGACUGCACACCUGCUUCAGAAGGUGGUAAGAAUGAUGGGCAUCCAGUAGACGGAAUUUUAGAGACCCGCUGUGCCUGGCCUCCUAAGGAAAAGCGUCGACACGUGGCUUUAUCGAAGUUACCCAAGUCUGGCAGAAGUCGGGGAGGAGGAGUGACUCCCAUGUUACAGGUGAGGGAGGAAUUUGAGCAGGUAGGGAGCUGGCGGCUCCCUGAUGCGCUCGCGCUCGGUACAUCAGCGUCCUCACAGUAAAAAGAUGUUCAGUAUCCUUCCGUGUAAAAUAUUCUCCCAGCGUUAGCUAACUAAUCCUCACCAUCGCGAAGCAAAACUCAAGAUGAUUCUCCAUGGUACAGAAAUACAACUGUGUCCUCGAUGCGAGACCCGGCCACAAGUCCUCCUGAGGCUCCCUUCCAAUCCAGUGAGGUGAGCGGUAUCUGCGGGGUCGCUGCCAGCCCUUCCCGCAGGGGUCAUUAAAGGUGGCGCUGUGGUCCGGAUUCGAGAAGGUCUCCUGGUUUGUGUUACACUGUGGGAGAAGAAUCAGCCAGGAAACGCGUCGCCCAGUUUCCUGGGAGCGCGGAAGGCUGCUGAAAGGCCCUGGGGAGAGGCCGGGCAGGGCUUCUGCACAGUAGCAGGGCCUGACCUCCCUGAGGCUCCUGCAGCCUGGGGGGCCCGGGGGCUGCUCCUGGCGUGGGCUGAUUGCCGCAGCCCCCAACGCAGCUGUCUGUGG